GACGAACGCUGGCGGCGUGCCUAAUACAUGCAAGUAGAACGCAGUUGCGAAAGGGUGAGUAACGCGUAGGUAACUGCCUCAUAGCGGGGGAUAACUCUUGGAAACGAUAGCUAAUACCGCCUACUGUGAGCUAGACCUGCGUUGUAUUAGCUAGUUGGGUAGGUAAAGGCUCACCAAGGCGACGAUCCAUAGCCGGCCUGAGAGGGUGAUCGGCCAACCUGGGAACGGGGAACGGCUCAGACUCCUAGCGGGGGGAAGAGUGGGGAAUCGUCGGCCAUGGACGGAAAGCUGGCCGAGCAACGCCGCGGUAGUGAAGAAAGUUUUCGGGUGGGAAAGGUCCGUUGUUAGAGAAGCGGUACCUAACCAGAAAGGAUCGGCUAACUACGUGCCAGCAGCCGCGGUAAUAC
rnacentral:rRNA from 1 species